CCAUGACCUGAGCCGAAGGUAGAGGCUUUAACCCACGGAGCCACCCAGGCGCCCCAACUUCAUGGAUUUUUGAUGAUAAAUAGUACAGAUAAGGUUCCCCUGAAAUUGCUGACCAAAUGUGAAGGUAUUAGGAAAAAAGGACAUUGAUGGAGCUUUGACCCAGGAAAUUCAACGGAAGCGCUCCAGGAGGCAGUAAGCCUACGAAGUGGGUUUACUGGGAGAGACACAAGCCCACCUGCUCAGAGCAAGGAUUUCAGUAGCAAACAAUAAGCAUUUGCUGAACCAAGUGCAUGAGAAAGAAGCACAGUGGAGGAUACAAAGAAGCGACUGUCCAACUUCAAGUGUCCUUCAACUGGUCGCACUUACUGCCUCAGCUCUUCCCUGAUUACUGUCUCGGUUCCAGUCCUGACGGACAUCCCGUAGUCUUCCCUUCCCCAUCCCUUACACAUGAGUCUUUACCGGCUCUGAGCCAUUGUUGUUUUGUGAGUCUUUGUUAACAUGUUGUUUGUCGCUGUGCAUUGUUGUUGCUUGUUUUCUGUCUACAGAGUACUCUCCCCUCCCUCUGUCUAAAUUUUGACCCUGCAGAUUAGCAGCGGCCUCGAUGUGCUCUCUUCUUCCCCGGAUGCAGAAUACAUCGUCACAACAGUCCCACUCAGGGAGCCUUGCUGUGCGGUGCUGAGCACGGGUCCAUGCACACCCUCAUUCUGUCCUCCCCAGAAAACCAGAGGAGGAGGAGGUCCAGAAAGGUCACAUAGCUCACUCCAGGCCCCACAGAACCAAGAUUAGAGUCCUGGUCCUUGUGAUUCCAGAACCUAAUCUCUUAACCGCCAUAUGUACUAAUGGACCUCUCAGAUUACAAGCACCCUGAAGGCAGACACCUUGAGAUAAGAAGCAGCUCUCCCCGGGGCCUCUCACCUUCUUCACCUCUGUGCUCCCACAGCAUCCGCGUCAACCAUGAAAUCGUUCCAUCUCCAGAAACAGAAAUUAAUGGACUUCUCUGGAAGGAGAACUGAUCCUGGUGCCUUCACCGGGGGAGCAGAGGACUGCGGUUUCACUAUAGUCUUCAGAGCCCACACUCAGCUGGAGGGGGAAGCGUCUGAACUUAAAGAAGUUCAGAGCUGAGGACACAUCGUUGGUGCCAUCAGCACAAGGAGGGGCCGGGAUUCCCAGUGGAAGACGCACAGAGGGAACAGAGCGCAAGCCGGAGGACGGAGCAAAAAGGAACACAGAGGAACACAAUCAAGGAGACUGUGUCAGAGAGCUAAGAAGGAACAUGUAUCACCGAGUCAGUCAGAGGGUUGCUGCAAGACAGAGUGGCUCAGAGUAAACCACUGACGAGUCCUACUCUUCAUCCCUCUGAUGUUCUGUUCAUUCAACAAAUUAUUCAUUGAGUAUUACUGGAGCCAAGCACUGGUCCUGCAGGGAGAGGGAGGGCAAUGAACACCCAGCUAAAUCCUGGCUCCCCAUGUGCUAAGGGUCUUGGAGAAUGCUUGAGUAAGACAUUUCAUUUCCUUGUGGGGUGAUAUGAAAGGAUGUCCUCUGUCCGGAUCACCUGGAGCUGGGCUGCGGAUGCUGAGCAAACACACGGCAAUCCGCACUGCAGUCCCAUACUUAAGUAAGAUACAAGGAGAAUAACAGACAGGAGAGAAACUGGCAAGUCAAAUUCAGUUUUGUUCCACCAGACAGAAGAGAUAUGACCAUGCUUGGAGGCAGGGAGAUGUCUUAGCCAAAUGCAAUGAUAUUUAAGGAUCACAUUAUUUAGAAACUUAAACUUCCAUAAUCUUCAGAAAUGGAAUCUGAUUGCCACUGCUUCUCAAGCAAGAUACCUGUCCCUCUGAGAAGUAGUUCUAGAAGCCCUUGUCAUCACAGCUGGGCCAGGCCAGGCAGACUCUGCCCAGGCCGGGAGACAGGAAGGAGAGGAUGCCUCGAAGGCAUUCAUAAAUGAGCCCUUAUUGUUGGCAGUGGGCCACAGAUAGAAAAUGGUCCUAAAAUGCACAUCACAUUAUUCCAGAGAAUCCCCUGGAAGGCAUUCCAUCAGACAUUCCAACUCUGGGGGCAGAAGAAGAGGACCUCACCUGGCAGAUCUCUCAAGUUCAGACCUCACUGGUCCUGGGACUCUCCAGCGAAAUACCAUUCAGAAAGUCUGGUGCAGGUUCCCCCAGGCCUGCCUGGUUCUGACCAGAACUCUGAAGUAGAGCAGCACAAGCCUUGGAGUUUCCAAAACCCCUCUUAGGUUCUCAAAGCACAGACGAGGGCACCCGGCCACAAGCGAUGGCAAAAGACCUCUUUGGUUGUUCUCUGCUGGAACGUUCCAGCCAGUGCUGGGCCAGAAAGCCAGCCACCCAGCCCCAGCCUCCACUGGGUACAAGAAAAGCUCCAAGCCCUACUCUGCUCCCAAGAGCUCCAGACCUAGAAUGAGAAAAACAUUCAAGGGUCAUGUUGGGGAACACAGGGCCUCCUCAGGGGUGGUGGGGAAGGCUCACUACUACUCCGGUGGGAAGGGGAAGAAGGACUCAUAUUUCCCUGGAGGCUGCACCCUGCCCUGGGGAGAGCAGCUCCCCAGAAAUGACACUUGAGGACCUGGCUUGGGGCCACAAGAGCAGACAGCUUGGGGUUUAUUUCCCCUUUAUAAUGGAGGCAGGCGAGGAAAGGAAUUCUUUGACUAAGUAACAUAAUACUUCUGGGUCCAGCCCACCAGGCUGGGCCCUGGGAAGAGCAAACAAGCCGCCCGCCCUGUCCCAACAGGUUUGUGGACACUGGCCGCAGCUGCCACUCACUGUGCUCAGGCGUGGAUGCUGGGGGAAGGGGAGGGACGCUGAUGCCCAGGACAGCAAGGAUGUUGGGAAAGAUCUCUAAUCCAGUCUCAACCCUGCCAAGGCCCGAGUCCAACACUUUGUGCCCCUGAGCCAUCAGAUUUAACUCUGUACCCCAGCCCCUGCCUCAUGCCGCCUUGGUUCCCACUUCCCCACCUGCCCAAGCCCCUGAACCCAGAUGAAAGUCCAGGCUUCGUCCCCAUAAGCUGAGGGACAUCCUAGAUGCCACCUGCCCAGGCUGGAGGUCUCCCCGCUUGAUGCAUACGUGCUCCGCGUGUCACAAGGGCAAGCACUCGUGAUCUGGUGGGUCAACCACACAAGUAACACGUCAGUAACAAUCAGCAUCUGUGCAGUAUUCUGCAGUUCGCAAAGCUUCAACCUCCAAACAACUCUUCUCAGUUAGGCAUUACCAUCUACCCAUUUUACAGAUAGGAAAGCAGGAGGCUCAGAGAGGUAUUCCACAGAGUGGCAAAGCCAGGCCCUGAACCCAAACUGUUUAACUCCACAUCUUCUGCUGUAAACCCCAGGGCGGGACCACGGGUACUGGCGAUCUGCAGAAUGGGUUCUAUCCAACCCCCUGCUUUGCAGCCCCCAGCUCUUCGAACCUGACUGCUGCAUGACAGAGACACCGUCACCCGACUGCCCAACCCCUGCCCUGCUGGGCAGCCGGCCCAGGACGCAGAGAGUCCCCAGGGCCACCCUGCCCCUGGCAGGUGCC